UCACUCACUUUAGUGGUUAGGCCACAGCUCUCCCACUGCUGUGGCCUGGGUUCGAGUCCCAGGCAGGGAA